AUUGAACGCUGGCGGCAGGCCUAACACAUGCAAGUCGAACGAGUGGCGGACGGGUGAGUAAUGUCUGGGACACUGCCUGAUGGAGGGGGAUCACUCCUGGAAACGGUAGAUAAUACCGCAUACCAUCGGAUGUGCCCAGAUGGGAUUAGCUGGUUGGAGGGGUAACGGCCCACCAAGGCGAUGAUCAGUAGCCGGUCUGAGAGGAUGAACGGCCACACGGGAACUGAGACACGGGCCAGACGCCUACGGGAGGCAGCAGUGGGGAAUAUUGCACAAUGGGCGCAAGCCUGAUGCAGCCAUGCCGCGUGUAUGAAGAAGGCCUUCGGGUUGUAAAGUACUUUCAGUGGGGAGGCGUUACCCGCAGAAGAAGCACCGGCUAACUCCGUGCCAGCAGCCGCGGUAAUUC
rnacentral:rRNA from 1 species